UUUGCCAUCUUCCAGCGAGCUAUGAAUGUAGCAAGAGAUAUUCUGGAAUGUUAGGCCCUCCACAGUGUCAUCUUCAAAGAACAUUGUUGCCUUGUGUUGGACCAUCCUCUGCCAUCUUCCAGCGUGCUAUGAAAGUAGCAAGAGAUAUUCUGGAAUGUUAGGCCAGCCACAGCAUCACCUUUAAAGAACAUUGAUGUCUUGAGUUGCAAAAUCCUUUGCCAUCAUCCAGCGACCUGUGAAAGUAGCAAGACAUAUUCUGGAAUGUUAGGCCAGCCACAGUAUCGUCUUCAAAGAACAUUG